GCGGGCGUAGCUCAGUGGCAGAGCCUCGGCUUCCCAAGCCGAUUGUCGGGGGUUCGAAUCCCCUCGCCCGCU
rnacentral:tRNA from 1 species